rnacentral:rRNA from 1 species
UACGGGGGGGGGCAAGCGUUGUUCGGAAUUACUGGGCGUAAAGGGCGCGUAGGCGGUCUACUAAGUUGGAUGUGAAAAACUCUGGGCUUAACCCAGAGCCUGCAUUCAAAACUGAUAGGCUGGAGUUCUGGAGGGGAUAGCGGAAUUCCUGGUGUAGCGGUGAAAUGCGUAGAUAUCAGGAGGAACACCGGUGGCGAAGGCGGCUAUCUGGACAGAAACUGACGCUGAGGCGCGAAAGCUAGGGGAGCAAACAGG